UACAGAGGUGGCAAGCGUUGUUCGGAAUUACUGGGCGUAAAGGGCGCGUAGGCGGUUCGUUAAGUCCUGUGUGAAAUCCCCCGGCUCAACUGGGGAACUGCACAGGAAACUAGCGGGCUUGAGUUCGGGAGAGGGAAGCGGAAUUCCGGGUGUAGCGGUGAAAGUGCGUAGAUAUCCGGGAGGAACACCGGUGGCGAAGG
rnacentral:rRNA from 1 species